GCUCGGCUCUGGUGCAGGAACAAGGGCUGCAGGUCAGACUCCUGGGCUUCCUUCCCAGCUCUGCCGCUUCCUGGCUGGGGGCCCCGGGCAGGCGAUUCCCCUCUCUGAGCGUCAGUUUUUCAUCUGUACAGUGGGUGGGGUGGAUGUUUCUGUGCUGCACGACUGUUGUGGGGGUUGGAGGUGGUGAACAGAAGGUCCAGCAGUCACCUGCACACAGUAGGCGCUCAUUUCAAUGACAUCACCCCCAUCCCUGACAUCAUCGUGCUCAAGGUCUGGGAAGGCACCUGGGGGUUGUGAUCGGCAUCUUGGUGGCCGUCAUCCUACUGCUCCUCCUCCUCCUCCUCCUCUUCCUCAUCCUCCGACAUCGACGUCAGGGCAAACACUGGACAUCGACCCAGAGAAAGGCUGAUUUCCAACAUCCUGCAGGGGCUGUGGGGCCAGAGCCCACAGACAGAGGCCUGCAGUGGAGGUCCAGCCCAGCUGCCGAUGCCCAGGAAGAAAACCUCUAUGCUGCCGUGAAGCACACACAGCCUGAGGAUGGGGUGGAGAUGGACACUCGGGUGAGAC
rnacentral:lncRNA from 1 species